UCUCGAUUUAAUUGCCUCUUAUUACCUCCCCUUGAUUUUGAGGCGUGGACCCUUCCGCAUUACAACAAAUACAUACGUACACGCAUACACGCAUACAUAUAUGUUAUACUAAAGUUUCAACAACUAUACUAAGUUUCAGUUAUUAUCGCCUUAAUCGGAUGAACUGCCUUGCUCGAUAAAGAAAAAACCAAAUACUCGUGGAAAUAAGAAUAUCCUCUUAGCAAGCUGAUCAUUAUUAAAUUGGACACAUCUGACUCUACAAUAGAAAUUAUUCAUUUUUCUGCUAAUAUGAAUUGAAGAUAUUUUCUGUUGGCAUGUAGAAAAAAAGAUAUGUACAGUCCAUUAUUCUUACAGACAAUCCUUUUAAUUUGCUAUAAUUAAAAAAUUGGUCACUGAUUGAUUAAACUAACAUGCAUAGCAAUGGUGAAACUUAAGUGUAAUCUGCAUAACACCAUUCACUCUACAAGUCACACAUUUCAGUAGCUGUUUGACAUCCAUGACAAAAGAAAUUCUAUUGUAAUAAAUACUUCAAGAGCAACUGCACCAUCUGUUGCAGAAAAAUGAUCAUGUCAGUCAGUAAUCAAAGCACUAACAGUGAGGCCAUAUUGCACAGACCAUAUUGUGAUAACUGCAGCAUCAGUUUUGCAGAAAUAGUCACAACUUCCAAUAUUUUUUACAAAAGUAUUACAAUGAUAAUGAAAGCUGUAGCUCUUGUAGACAUACAGCUGGUCUUGGAACACCUCUUCAUAAUGCCUGUUAUAAUAAAUACUGCAAAAGAGAAAGAAGCUUUAGCCAUCACUUGCAAGCACAAGUUUCAACCUGGUGACAGUGAACUAUCAAAGAUGUGACAGCUGGAAGGAAAGAAGGCUGCACCAGCACUUCAUUGAUACUCAUUUCCAGCUGAGUGGACCUGAAAUUAAGUACCUUGUGGAAGGGCAUAACACAUCACCUGGUAUUGAACCCACAACUUGUGAGCCCAACAUCUUCACAUAAUAGUGUACUGAAGUGAAUAAAAGAUGAAGGCCUGAAGAAGUGUAGACAUGAUGACUUUGUAUGAUGGUAUAGCACAACCUUCUGAAAGAUGUACAAUGUUUGAGGGAAAAUUCAUUAUACUGAAAUAUAUUUUUGUUGAUUUAAUAUUAUUUAAAGCCUACCUUUUCAACUAAUUUUGAACUUUAGGAACACCUCUUUACCUCUCUUUAUUUACAAGGGGGUGCUUAAAAGUUCCUGGCUGUGGGUAAAAGAAAAUAGGGGAGGAUCAGUUAAUUAUGAUUUUAUUCAACAUAUUCCCCUCUCAGAUUCACACACUUAUUACAGUGGUCCUUCAGUUUUCCUAAGCCCUGCAAAAGAACUUGGAUGGUUGACCCUCCAACCAGGCCUUUCAUGAUACCCUUAAAACCAGGAAUUCUUCAGCACCCCUGUGUAGUAGAGACAGCUAUGAACAAUUUUAUAUUAAAGCACAUUGUACCAUGACCAGAAAUAAAAGUAAGAAAAGACAAUU